AUACGGAGGGUGCAAGCGUUACUCGGAAUCACUGGGCGUAAAGCGCGCGCAGGCGGCUUGAUAAGUUGGAUGUGAGAGCCUACGGCUCAACCGUAGAACUGCAUCCAAAACUGUCAGGCUAGAGUGUGGGAGAGGAAGAUGGAAUUAGUUGUGUAGGGGUAAAAUCCGUAGAGAUAACUAGGAAUACCAAAAGCGAAGGCAAUCUUCUGGAACACUACUGACGCUGAGGCGCGAAGGCGUGGGGAGCAAACAGGAUUAGAAACCCCAGUAGUCC
rnacentral:rRNA from 1 species